rnacentral:lncRNA from 1 species
UGGGUAUUCGUCUCUCUCCCCGCCCCUGAGAGUCUGGGAAAGGCUGACACGUGGUGCCUUCAGGCUCUGGGGCCUAGGACCUUUGUGGUAGCAGAGUCACUGCAGAGAACCAGACAAUACCAGGUUGCUUAUAAAAGGAUGCCAUGUGCUUGCUGGAGGUCCCAGGUGCAACCAAAUUGCUUGCAGCUAGGAGGACCUUGAAGAGAAAUGGGAUCAGCCCGCCAAACCAAGAAGGGUUAGCACUUUUGCUAGGAGAGCUGACCACGCACAAACAGAUGAGAACCAAAACCGAGUGAAGAGGAUUGAAGAUGAACCCACAUUUUAAAAGUUCUUGUCUGCUGGAGGUGGCAUUACCUGUGACCUCGCUUCACUUCUCCAUACAUGGCUGUUAUAGCAGAAAAUCCAGCUUUCUGAAGCAUAUUUCACGACAUAUGAUGAGACUUAUGUGAUGUGAGACCUGAGAAAACUAUGAUAGAAAGAAGCAACUCAAGUUGCAAGGAUAUUCCUCAUGUAUCAUGCAAGGAUAUUCCUCAUAUAUCAUGUAAGUAAAAAGUCACCAAAUCCUGACAACCUGUCCACAUGUGCCCACACAUGUACAAUUAUAUAAUAAAAAGAGCAGAAUGCAUUGUGUAUUCUAAGAGAUUUUUCAAGAAGCUGAUAAGAUAUUUGUAAUUUGAGAGUCAACCCAGAACAAAUAUGUGCAGAAGAAAUUGUUGGUGAAAACUUGAUUUGUUGGCUAUUUGAGACCUAAUAUAUUUAUAUAUUUAACUGAUCACAGAAAACAGGUGUAUUCAAGACACCCACAUUUUAAAAAUCCUUAUCUGCUUCAGUGGGCAUUACUUGUGGCCUCACUGCACUUCUUUGUACAAGGCUAAUGUGUCUGGUUAUUUUGUAAACAGGUAUGCUUAAUUUUAGGAAAUGCAAAAAUAUGAGAAGCAACCUUAAAAAUAUUGCAUAUUCCAAGGAGUAGUUAAUGAUGUUUCCAAAGACCUCAAACUGUCCUGAGAAAAGCAUGUCUGACAUACAAG